CCAAUAGCGUAUAUUAAAGUUGUUGCAGUUAAAAAGCUCGUAGUUGAACUUCGGGAUCAAGGGAUCGGUCAUGCCUUGGUAUGUACUGGUCUUAUUGGUUCUCACCUUCUAAAGAACCAUAAUGUCAUUCAUUUGAUGUUAUGGGGAAUUAGGACUGUUACCUUGAAAAAAUUAGAGUGGUUAAAGCAGGCUCACGCUUGAAUACAUUAGCAUGGAAUAAUGAAAUAGGACAUCCGAUUCUCUAUUGUUGGUUUCUAGGAUCGAUGUAAUGAUUAAUAGGGAUAGUUGGGGGCAUUAGUAUUCAAUUGUCAGAGGUGAAAUUCUUGGAUUUAUUGAAGACUAACUACUGCGAAAGCAUUUGCCAAGGAUGUUUUCAUUAAUCAAGAACGAAAGUUAGGGGAUCGAAGACGAUCAGAUACCGUCGUAGUCUUAACCAUAAACUAUGCCGACUAGGGAUCGGAUGAUGUUAAUUUUUUAAUGACUCAUUCGGCACCUUACG
rnacentral:rRNA from 1 species